GAUGAGUCGUUAUUUCUUGAACCAUAUUUAGUUUAUUGCACUUAAAUAAAUCAGGGAAUUGUGUUUAAUUGUCUGUUAUUUCCCCGUUUUUCGAAUUGUGCUUAAUUUGGUCAGAAAUUUGUAUUUUCGCUAAUUUGGAUAUUUUGAGCCGAUUAAGCGUAUUUUUGGUUACAGGGAAAUUGUGGAAAUAUCAUCUGGAGCAUUAGGAUAUGGCAUGGCACAUUCAAGACUCAAUAUUUAGUCAUUUAGAUUUUAAUUAAAGUUGUAAUUUCGUUUUCUAGAAGCCUUUGAUUANAAUUAGGUGUUUUGGACCCUUUUAGGGACAUUUUUGUAAAAAACCAAUUGUGGGGGCCAUGUGGCAUCUCUUUAGGGCUGACAUGUAGUGUUUGGACCCCACCAAAUGUGAAACUCUUGGUAUUUGGGGUGUGAAAACCGAGCCACACAAAAGGGAGACCCAUAGCUCAUGGUUUUGGUUCAUUUUCCUAGGGUUUCUCUUGUUUUGAACAUGCUCUCAUGGGUGCUUGCUUGGUGCACGGUUUUGGACCAUUUUCAAUGAAUAUUAUGAAGAUUUUCUUCUUCCCUUGACUCACUCUUGGUUGUCUUAACUCAUUUGUGGUGAAAAUCCAUUCAUUCCUCCUUCCAUUUGCUUGUUUUUUAUGUUUGAAGCUUGAGUUUUUAAGCUUGUCUUUGCUUUUCUAUGGUGGUUGUUGGGUUUGAGUGACUUUAGAUUUUCGUUUCCUCUUCCAUUGUUGCUGUUCCUCACGUUUUUCUUUGCAUUUUAUUUGUUUGGUUGAUAAAAAUGGAAUUCUAUGUGAGUUUUGGGUUGAAUAGAGCUUAACUUGAUGUGUGGGUGUUAUGGGUUUGGCUCUUUUCCUUCAUAUUUUGGUUUUGAUGUUUGAAACUAGUUUGGAACCAGACUUUGAUGAUGUUAUUG
rnacentral:lncRNA from 1 species